UAGAAGAACAAAGAUGCCAAUGAAAUCAAUUUUGAAAACUCCGAUUCAUGUAUCUAUUUGGCUUUUGUCAUUAUUUUUCCUUACUGUGUUCUCUGCACAUAACUGUGAUGUUGGAUGGAUUGUAGGAUACAGCAAAUGUUAUAUGGUGCACCAAAAACUGUUAACAUGGGAUGACGCUAUGCUUUAUUGCCAGUCUCGUGGAGGACAUCUUGCAAACAUUGAAACAGAACAGGAAAGGGGUCUGAUCCAAUCAAUAAUGGAAAGAUAUAAUCCUGGGAUAUACUGGCUGGGCGGAAAAGAUGACGUCACUGAAGGUGAUUGGCGUUGGCAACCAUCAAAAGAUAAAAUAAACGAAACAUUUUGGAACCCCGGCGAACCUAACGAAUUUACGGGAAAUGAGGAUUGUCUAACUACAUCGAUCUAUGAAAAUGGUCUCUGGAACGAUAACGCAUGUGGGAAUUAUUACUGCCUUAUUUGUGAAAAAUAAGCUAUGAUAUUAAAUUAUUUAUAUUUUG